rnacentral:rRNA from 1 species
UACAGAGGUCUCGAGCGUUAGGCGGAAUCACUGGGCUUAAAGCGUGUGUAGGCGGAUCGUUAAGUACCUUGUGAAAUCCCACGGCUUAACCGUGGAACUGCUUGGUAUACUGGCGGUCUUGAGCCAGCUAGGGGCUACCGGAACAAAUGGUGGAGCGGUGAAAUGCGUAGAUAUCAUUUGGAACGCCAAUGGUAAAAACAGGUAGCUGGGGCUGUGCUGACGCUGAGACACGAAAGCCAGGGGAGCAAACGGG